AUUGAACGCUGGCGGCAGGCCUAACACAUGCAAGUCGAGCGGAUGAAGGGAGCUUGCUCCUGGAUUCAGCGGCGGACGGGUGAGUAAUGCCUAGGAAUCUGCCUGGUAGUGGGGGAUAACGUCCGGAAACGGGCGCUAAUACCGCAUACGUCCUGAGGGAGAAAGUGGGGGAUCUUCGGACCUCACGCUAUCAGAUGAGCCUAGGUCGGAUUAGCUAGUUGGUGGGGUAAAGGCCUACCAAGGCGACGAUCCGUAACUGGUCUGAGAGGAUGAUCAGUCACACUGGAACUAAGACACGGUCCAGACUCCUACGGGAGGCAGCAGUGGGGAAUAUUGGACAAUAGGCGAAAGCCUGAUCCAGCCAUGCCGCGUGUGUGAAGAAGGUCUUCGGAUUGUAAAGCACUUUAAGUUGGGAGGAAGGGCAGUAAGUUAAUACCUUGCUGUUUUGACGUUACCAACAGAAUAAGCACCGGCUAACUUCGUG
rnacentral:rRNA from 1 species